AGGAUUGUACCAGGGGAAAGGAUUGGACCCAGACAAGGAAGGAGUCUGGUCUGUGAAAGCAUCUUAUUGGAACAUCUCUAAGGGUGAGAUUUACUUGUAAUCAGCAAAGAAUCCUGUGGCACCUUAUAGACUAACAGA